GAUGAAGAACGCAGCGAAAUGCGAUAAGUAAUGCGAAUUGCAGAAUUCAGUGAAUCAUCGAAUCUUUGAACGCACAUUGCGCCCGCCAGUACUCUGGCGGGCAUGCCUGUCUGAGCGUCAUUUCAACCCUCGCGCCCGGCUUCUGUCGGGGGCGGUGUUGGGGAUCGGCCUCCCGUCUUCCGGGCGGCCGGCCCCUAAAUUGAGUGGCGACCGCGCCGUAGCCUCCUCUGCGUAGUAGUGAAACACUCGCGGGCGGAGAGCGGUGCGGCCCGCCGUAAAACCCCCAACUCUUCUAAGGUUGACCUCAGAUCAGGUAGGAAUACCCGCUGAACUUAAGCAUAUCAAUAAGCGGAGGA
rnacentral:misc_RNA from 1 species